rnacentral:lncRNA from 1 species
UUUGGUGCUGAUGCCAUUUUCAGCCUCAGCACGCCUGCACCCAGGCGCUCAUUAAAACAGCAUGUUGCUCCCCACUGCCUCGUGUUGUCUGUUGGCGCGCUGUCGGGGUUCGAACCGAUACAAGAACCUUCCACCUACCUGGUGCUUUGGCCUCAUCUAUAAGCAGCUUUUCCACUGUCCUGAAACAAGAUAGAGAAUCUGAGCGGCCAGUCAUCUGCCCUAAGUGCUGCCGCCGAAGACUGAAUGUCCUGGAAAGUUUGCUGUCACAUCUCCAUUAUGACAAAAGCAUUGUGCCGAACAGAUGAAAAAAUGCAUUGUCAACGGAAUCUUUUAUGUUUGUUUGUCUUCCUUUAAGCAACAUUGCCUUACUUGUUAUAAAAGAUAAAUAAAUAUUUGUUCAUUUCAA